CCCGGCGCCACGGUGAGUAACACGUAUGCAAUCCACCUGUAACAGGGGGAGUAACCGGAAGAAAUACCGGACUAAUACCCCAUAAUAUGGGCGCUCCGCAUGGAGAGUUCAUUAAAGAGAGCAAUUUUGGUUACAGACGAGCAUGCGCUCCAUUAGCCAGUUGGCGGGGUAACGGCCCACCAAGGCGACGAUGGAUAGGGGUUCUGAGAGGAAGGUCCCCCCACAUUGGAACUGAGACACGGUCCAA
rnacentral:rRNA from 1 species